CCAAAUCCGACACAGGUAGUCAAGAAGAGAAUUCUAAGGUGCUUGAGUGAAUCACGGCUAAGGAACUCGGCAAAUUAAUCCUGUAACUUCGGGAAAAGGGAUGCCUCCUCUAGCAAUAGAGAGGUCGCAGAGAAAUGGCCCAGGCGACUGUUUAACAAAAACACAUGGCUAUGCGAAAUCGAAAGAUGAAGUAUAUGGCCUGACACCUGCCCGGUGCUGGAAGGUUAAGGGGGGAUGUUAGCCGCAAGGCGAAGCAUUGAACUGAAGCCCCAGUAAACGGCGGCCGUAACAAUAACGGUCCUAAGGUAGCGAAAUUCCUUGUCGGGUAAGUUCCGACCUGCACGAAUGGUGUAACGAUCUGGGCGCUGUCUCAGCCGUGAGCUCAGUGAAAUUGUAGUAGCGGUGAAGAUGCCGCUUACCCGCAACGGGACGGAAAGACCCCAUGAACCUUUACUAUAGCUUUACAUUGACUUUGGGUAAGGGAUGUGUAGGAUAGAUGGGAGACUAUGAAGUGGUGGCGCCAGCCAUCGUGGAGUCAACGUUGAAAUACCAUCCUUUCCUUAUCUGGAGUCUAAUCCCUGCAAAGGGAGACAUUGUAUGGUGGGUAGUUUGACUGGGGUGGUCGCCUCCAAAAGAGUAACGGAGGCUUUCAAAGGUACCCUCAGUACGCUUGGUAACCGUACGUAGAGUGCAAUAGCAUAAGGGUGCUUGACAGUGAGACUUACAAGUCGAGCUGGUAGGAAACUAGGAUAUAGUGAUCCGGUGGUUCCGCAUGGAAGGGCCAUCGCUCAAAGGAUAAAAGGUACUCUCUGGAUAACAGGCUGAUCUCCCCCAAGAGCUCACAUCGACGGGGAGGUUUGGCACCUCGAUGUCGGCUCGUCACAUCCUGGGGCUGGAGAAGGUCCCAAGGGUUCGGCUGUUCGCCGAUUAAAGUGGCACGCGAGCUGGGUUCAGAACGUCGUGAGACAGUUCGGUCCCUAUCUGUUGUGGGCGUUAGGAAGCUUGCGAGGACCUGACCUUAGUACGAGAGGACCGGGUUGGACGAACCUCUGGUAUAUCUGUUGUGUCGCCAGAUGCAUUGCAGAGUAGCCACGUUCGGUCGAGAUAAGCGCUGAAAGCAUCUAAGCGCGAAACUCACCUCAAGAUGAGGCUUCCAUAUAAGGGCCGUCAGAGACUAUGACGUUGAUAGGCUAUAGGUGUAAAGACAGUAAUGUCAAAGCUGAGUAGUACUAAUUACCCGG
rnacentral:rRNA from 1 species